GGAGAUGUAGUUUAAUGGUAAAAUGGCAUCUUGUCAAGAUGUACGAUGUGGGUUCGAGUCCCAUCAUCUUCA